rnacentral:tmRNA from 6 species
GGGGCUGAACGGUUUCGACUUCGCGCAUCGAAUCAAGGGAAGCGUGCCGGUGCAGGCAAGAGACCACCGUAAGCGUCGUUGCGACCAAAUAAGCGCCGAUUCACAUCAGCGCGACUACGCUCUCGCUGCCUAAGCGACGGCUAGUCUGUCAGACCGGGAACGCCCUCGGCCCGGACCCUGGCAUCAGCUAGAGGGAUCCACCGAUGAGUCCGGUCGCGGGACUCCUCGGGACAACCACAGCGACUGGGAUCGUCAUCUCGGCUAGUUCGCGUGACCGGGAGAUCCGAGCAGAGGCAUAGCGAACUGCGCACGGAGAAGCCUUGAGGGAAUGCCGUAGGACCCGGGUUCGAUUCCCGGCAGCUCCACC